AAAAGAUGGAACCAUGAGGGCUUCUAGGAAAAGGUGGAAAUCUCUUAGAAUUUGAGUGUCACUCAUUUUUCUGAUAAAUAUGGGCAUGAUCGGAUCUGUCAUGGCACUGGUGGGUGAGUGAUUCAGGAGAAUAAUGAGUGUAUAAUUAGGUCUGGGGUAGGACAUGGGUCAAAUUCAGUGUCAGACUUAGCUGGUUUCAAUCAUCUUAGCCCCCAUCCUGUUAGCUAGAGUCUUAUCAGCCCAGGCUCAUCUUUGUCCUUGUAGCUAAUUUUAACACCUCCUUUCUUGCUGUUGGUGAUAUUGGUGCUUGAUAUUUUCCUGCUUCUCCUGUAACGACCCAGCAUUCCUAUUUUAUGGGCGUUUUCUUAAAUUAGGGGGUGAAAUAAUCAUUAAAUAUCCUGGAAAAGGAGAGCAUUUCAGGGACCCCUGGUUACUAACCCAAACUUUCUCUCUUAUUUAUUUCUCUCUUAUCUCUCUUAUUAUUUGGCUUUGCCUAGAAGAGUCAUGGACAUGUCACUGUGACCGGGGUUUUGGCCAUUUUUCUUAUUUUGAGUUUUCUGUUAUCCUGUAGUUUAUUUGCCUAGUUCUUAUUUUAGCUGUUGUUUAGGUUUUUCCAUGUUUCUGUCACCUCCCAGGGCUAUGCUCCUAUCAGCAGAACACAGCCAACAAAUCAUUAGUUUGCUAAUAACACAAGUUAUAGCAAUGUAGUCCACGGAUUGACUACUUCUUAGUCAAGUGUCCACCCCUCAUCCAAUCAGCUGUGGCCUUAGUCAGGUGUCCACCCCUCAUCCAAUCAGCUGUGGCCUUAGUCAAGUGUCCACCCCUCAUCCAAUCAGCUGUGGGCUUAGUCAGGUGUCCACCCCUCAUCCAAUCGGCUGUGGCCUUGCUGAAGGUGGCAUUUGGAAGUCAGCUACCUACUCCGCAGGAUGUGUGGGCAAGAAAUUCAUCCUGAAAGUGAUGUGGACAGACGGUCCUCUGAACUAUGAAUAUUAAAAGAACAACUAUUUCCACAUGCCAAAGUGAACGUGGAGGCCACCAAGAAG
rnacentral:lncRNA from 1 species